CUACGGGAGCCUGCAGUGAGGAAUUUUGCGCAAUGGGGGGAACCCUGACGCAGCAACGCCGCGUGAGUGAUGAAGGCUUUCGGGUCGUAAAGCUCUGUCAAGUGGGAAGAACCUAUGCAGUGUUAAUAUCACUGUAUACUGACGGUACCACUGAAGGAAGCACCGGCUAACUCCGUGCCAGCAGCCGCGGUAAUACGGGGGGUGCAAGCGUCAUUCGGAAUCAUUGGGCGUAAAGGGCACGUAGGCGGCUUGGUAAGUCAGAUGUGAAAGCCCGGGGCUUAACCCCGGAAGUGCAUUUGAUACUGUCAGGCUUGAGUAUGGGAGAGGGAAGUGGAAUUCCUGGUGUAGAGGUGAAAUUCGUAGAUAUCAGGAGGAACACCGGUGGCGAAGGCGACUUCCUGGACCAAUACUGACGCUGAGGUGCGAAGGCGUGGGUAGCAAACAGGAUUAGAUACCCCUGUAGUC
rnacentral:rRNA from 1 species